GCUUUGGCCUUUGGCACAGUGAAGAGCUGAGUGAAACUGCUGCAUCCAGAUGCCUUAUCUUGAGUUGCCUCAAUCUGGAAAGUUCUUAAAUUGGAUGUGCUCAGCCCUUCCAGUAGAGCCCCAUAGGCUGAGCUCUUAUGAAGAGGAAGAAAGCUGAUGGAGAGGGAGGAGCUACGGCACUGCCUUACGUGGAGUACCCUCUGAGAAGACCGGCUAGUAGACACCUAGGCAGGAGGGGACCAGCUCUGAGUUCCUUGGAGCAAAGAACCUUGGAAGCUCAGGAACUCCUAAGUCUGUCGGCAUGUGUAAGCUGCGUGACUUUUCUGUUCGUGUGAUAAAAUACCAU